CUUGAGGAACGACUGCAGCUGCCUGGCGGAGAUGCCCUCCACGCGCUCCAGGUCCUCCACCUGCGGGACAGCGGCGGUGGGCGGGGCCCGGCUCUCGCGCCCCUCCCGGCCUCCCCGCGCACUACCUGGCCAAAGGGGCCGUGGAGCUGCCUCCAGCCUACGAUGAGCUGGGCCUUCUUCUGGCCGAUGCGCUGCAGGCUGCGCAGGUCCCGAGUUGAACCUUCGUUGAGCAGAUCCAGUAUUUUUUGGCGCCCAUGGGCCAGCAGCUCAGGGCUGAUCUGUAGCUCCCAGCAGUCCUCAACCUUCUCCUCCUCCUCAGGCCCGGGGGCAUCCAGGGACUUCAGCUAGGAGGCACGGAGUGAGUGACAAAAGUCGGAGAAGCACUGCGGACUCCUCUGCCAAGACCAGGAGCCCAGCUGCAACUGCCCCCACCCCCCCCAAGUGACCAACACCCUCAGGCUGGCUCCCGCCUUCUACAGUACUUCUGGUCACCGCCAACUUUAGGGUGAUGCUGAGUACCGUUCUCUAGAACAGUUAGGCAAAGACCCAAUGAAUUAAGAAGUGAAAAGCACAAAGCAAGCUCUCAGGUCUCGCACAGGGGCUGAGGAAGUAGCUAAGUGGCACCAGCCUGAAGCCUUUGGUUUGACCCUCAGGCCCCAGAGUGGGAGUGUCUGUCUCACCAGGAGAGGAGGGGGGAGCAGUAAGUAACACGCACCCCCCAUGUCCCUGGUUUUGGAUUACACUUUGAGUGUCUUGGAGUGCUUAGGCCAUAUUUCCCCUAAGUGCGGAGGGCAGGAUUGGAGCUGCACACUUCAUCCUGUCAGCAUCUCCUUUCUCAGCACAGGAGCCACGCAGAAAGGAAGGAGACUGGCCGGUGGUGGAUGCCCGCUGGGCUGUGUCCACAUGGGUCCAGGUCGUCCUAACUGUCCCUCAGGGCCACGCACUGCACACAGAGCGUGCCCAAGCUGGAAGAUUGGAGCGCGGGGCUCGGUCAGGCCAGGUACUUCCAAGCCCUUUCUUCUUCUUCAGGAUGUGGAUCUCAGGGUGUGGAGAUGCUGCUUGCUCCUGAACUGAGAGCAAGAAUUGUGAACUGGGGCCAGGCCAGGGGCCACUUUGCUCCCUCCCUGGUAGCCACUUUGUUCUCCCAUUUCUGAUUCUUUGGUUCCCCUUUAACCACUGAUCAUGUUUUCACAUGAUCUUUCUUUUUUUCCAGUACUGGGGAUCAAACUCAGGACCUCUCGCUUGCCAGGCAGGUGCAGUGCCACUGAUUCAACAUGAUCUUUCUAAUACCUGUAUCUGAAAG
rnacentral:lncRNA from 1 species